GCGCCUCCAGGCCGGUGUUGGCGCCGCGGAUGCGCUCUGCGAGUUCGGCGUUCGCGCCUGCGCCGGUGGCGAGCGUCGCCAGGUGGUGCA
rnacentral:tRNA from 1 species